UACGUAGGGUGCGAGCGUUAAUCGGAAUUACUGGGCGUAAAGCGUGCGCAGGCGGUUUUGUAAGCCAGAUGUGAAAGCCCCGGGCUUAACCUGGGAAUGGCAUUUGGGACUGCAAGGCUAGAGUGCGGCAGAGGAGACUGGAAUUCCUGGUGUAGCAGUGAAAUGCGUAGAUAUGCGGAGGAACACCGAUGGCGAAGGCAAUCCCCUGGGCCUGCACUGACGCUCAUGCACGAAAGCGUGGGGAGCAAACAGGAUUAGAAACCCCGGUAGU
rnacentral:rRNA from 1 species